rnacentral:rRNA from 1 species
CACCGGCGCCACGAGUGGGAGUCGAUUUUAUUGGGCCUAAAGCGUCCGUAGUCGGUUUGAUGAAUUUCUUGUGAAAUCAUUAGGCUUAACCUAAUGGCGUGCAGGAAACACUGUCAAACUUGGGACCGGGAGGAGUGUGAGGUAUUCCUUGGGGAGCGGUAAAAUGUUAUAAUCCUUGGAGGACCACCUGUGGCGAAGGCGUCACACUAGAACGGAUCCGACGAUGAGGGACGAAAGCUAGGGGA